UACGUAGGGGGCAAGCGUUGUCCGGAAUCAUUGGGCGUAAAGAGCGUGUAGGCGGCUCGGUAAGUCCGCUGUAAAAGUCCAGGGCUCAACCCUGGAAAGCCGGUGGAAACUGUCGAGCUGGAGUCCGGAAGAGGCGAGUGGAAUUCCUGGUGUAGCGGUGAAAUGCGCAGAUAUCAGGAGGAACACCAAUGGCGAAGGCAGCUCGCUGGGACGGUACUGACGCUGAGACGCGAAAGCGUGGGGAGCAAACAGG
rnacentral:rRNA from 1 species